CAUGUCAUCAUCAACAUGACAUUUUUUUCUAAAAGGCCUAAUGAAAUAUGAUAAGUAUUUCUUGUUCAAAUUUGAUUUUACCUCUUAUGCAGUUAUUAUUAUACUUACAUAUGUACAUGUACCAUCAAUUAAGCUUUGUUUGUCAACACAAAUCCAAUGUACAAAAAAUGUCAACACAAAAAAAUUCCCCUUAAAUAUACAUUAAUAUUGUCUAGUCUGAGUAUUUAUCUAUUUUUUUUUUCAAGGAGAUGACACAACUUUCUAUAUCCAGAAUAUGAAUGUUCUCAAUGAGAAGUCGUCUCUUUCCCAACAUACCCAAUUGAUUGUUACUAAGCCUCCUUUUUACACAUGUUUCCAUGAUGUACAUCUGUCUCUGAUAUUAUCUUAUCAAUUCAACCUACUUAUCAUGUACAUUAUUUUUUAAUAGAUAUUUUAUGAGUAAGGAAAUCCACAAAAAGGAAUCCAGAUUAAGGCUACUGCAAAAUAAUAAUUUGUCAACUCAAAUGGUUUCUUUUGUGACAGAAAUAAAACUUCUAUUUCAUUAUUGUAUAGCUUGAUAUUUUGUACUGUUUGUUCUCUAGAAUUAGAUUUUAGACCAUUUUCCAAAAGAAGUUACGGGUAAAUACAUAUAUUUAAAAAAAUGAAUUUGGAUGGAUGGAAAGUCUCAAAGAAUUUUUAUGACCUGAAAUUUAAUUUAUUGUUAGAACUUUUAAUAAAAGGAAUUUAGUAAGAAAUGUUUUCCACAACAAGAAGUAUAAGUUGUAUAUCAUUGAUAUGAUUGAUAUAGAUAUGUAGGUUCAAUGUGUAUUAACCAUGUCAACGUUUUCUUGUUAUUUUUUUUUGUUUUUGUUUUUUUUUAAAUUUUGUUGAAAUAUUUUUGGUCACACGAAAUUACAUAAUUAUUUAUGUGGAAAGGUUGUUUAUUAAUGGUAACUGUAGUGCUAGUUUACAUAUUCUGGAAUGCAGAGAUAUAACGAUUAUUUUGAAAUAAAUAUUAUUUAGUUU
rnacentral:sRNA from 1 species